AUUCCAACCCUUUGAAUAAAUUGAUAAUCAAGGCGGUGUGUAAUGAAAGCCUUCGUCCUGAGCUUAAAUAUGAAGGACGAAGGGCUUUGAACAAGAAUAUCUAAUUUACUAUAUAUGAAAGCCGGUUCAAACCGGCUCCUCCUAGCUCAUCCACGUCAUCGAAAAUCUUCUUAACCGCUCGAUCGUGGAUCACUGGCUCACCUUCAUCGCGCUCUCUCACAUCGUUCUCCUCGCCUCUGGAUACUUCCACCUGAUGCUUUGACAGUGGCCACCGCUCCUCGCUCGAUCUGCCCUGUCUCUCUUCCUCCUCGCUCCCUCCGCCUUGUCCCUCUGUAGGUCACUUGGUCAGGUUCUCAUCCCCUUCUUGCUCCCUCUGCAUCGUCCCUCUGUAGGUCCACGCGCUCCUCCCGUCCACGCCUGCGAGUAUCUCUUCUCAGAGUCUCCAGAUCGGGGCCUCCGGCAGCCGCUCGCGCCAACGCUGUCGCCGCUUGUCCGCUCCUUCACCAGACACCAGCAUGCGACACACUUCUAGAAUCAAACAGGCGGUGGGAAAGAGAAAAAAAGGGAGGACGAUCUCGGCUCUCUCACGCCGUUAAGGUCAACAAAGGUGGGGAGGGCCGACCCUCCGGCGUUGUCGUCGGCGCUUGUGCCUGGUGGCGGCAGGCACAGCCCCGUGGACGGCAAGAUUAGGAGUGGGGGAGUCUUCAACCAUCCAUCGCACCGCGGUCAAAGGGUCUGCGCCGCCUGCAUCCAGCAGGCCAUGGCAGUCAGUCUUCAACCAGCUACUGCCUACUGUGCCACCGUCAAAGGGGCCCGCGCCGCACACUUCCAGCAGAACAGGCGGUUAGACUGGCUCCAACAAGGCCCUCUAAAGGGUCCUGUACCCUAAAUUUAGAGGACGAGGACGUCCUCUACUCCCUCCAGCAACGUCCUCUAAACGGUCCUCUAAAUUUAGAGAACGCUGCUGGAUCCUCUAUAUGUAGAGUUUCUCUAAACGGUUCUCUAUCUAUUUGAAUACUUUAAACAACCGAUUUAAUAAAACUAAAAUAUGUACAAUACAUUUGAGAGUAUGACAAAUACGUAUGUACAAAAAUUAAAAAAUUAAAAAUGUGUUUAAUAUAGGUAUUUACAUAUAGAGAACGUGAUUUAGAGGACGUUGUUGGAGAGAAAGUAGAUAUAGGAGAUGGAAUCUUUUAGAGAAGACUGUAAAGGACGGAUAUAGAGGAUGUAUAUAGAGGACGUUGCUGGAGACAGUCUUAGUCUUCAAUGUGCAAUCAUGCACACCUAUUUUCCUCUAAUUUAUUUUCUUUUUUUGGGAUUCUACUGAAAAAGGAAUUCUUUUGCAAACAAUCUCUCAAGGCAGAGCAAGCCCGUCAGUCUUCAAGGGCCUAAAUCGGAUUGAAGUAAUACAUUUGGUUUCUUUUUUUUGGCCUAUCAAAUAUAUAUGCUACUGCAUGUUUACCAUGGCCAACUCGAGAGGGAGGCAUGCAACUUGCUACCGGAGGGGAGCUACGCACCACUGCACCGUGCGCGCGUCCUGGGGAGGCCCUGGCGCGCUGAAUCGCUGAAGGUCAUAAUGUAUAGAUGCAGCUUCAAACUAAGUACCAGGUUUGAUUCAAAGCGAGGUGAGAAUUUCUUACGUUGUUCUUUCUGAAUUAUGUUUCCCUAAGAAGAAGUUAUUUAACCAAAUAGACUAUGUUUUAUUUGACGACAGACAUACAAUUUUUCCUUUAACCAUUCAUCACAACAGUAAUGUAACAGUUAAUUGCGGCAGUUUUUGCUUAAGCUUUUAGUAAAAGUUGGCCAUGUUCUUUAGUUAAAAAAAGAACUUUGGUACAUUCAGAUGGACUCGAUCUAUGUCCUAGCUGUUUUAUAUCAUUUAUUGAUCAGGCUCUAGCCACAACAAAUAUCCAAUUCGAUUAGAAAGCACGAGUAAACAUGUGCCUUGACAUUGCACGGGGAUUAUCAUACCUCCAUCAUUGUGCUUCUUGACAUGGAUCUUACCUCGAAAAUCUUAGAUUUUGGUGUAGCAAAUCUUCUUCCACCAAACGUAACGCAUGCUAGCAUAACAAUUAUAGGAACAAUGUAAGUGAAUGUCUGUUUUAUAUUUUUCCGAUUUCUUCUCUUAUUUUUUCCUUUAGUGCUUAGAGAAGCUCGAUUUUGUACCAUUCUUUUCAAUUUAAUUAGGCGAUACUUUUUAAGAAAUAUCCAAACAAUUAAGGAAAACAAUGGCAUUUCUAAUUACCUGUAUAUGAUAUAUAUGGCCUAUGAAUACCUUUUUGCAGCCUUGCUUACUUCAUUCUAAUUAGGAGACUCUAUUUGGGUCCUCAGCAUUCUAUUCGAGAACAAGUGACACACAAAUCACAUGUUUACAGUUUUCGUCUGCUGCUUCUAGACAUUGUUAGCAGGAGAUCAAACAGUGACACAAGGUUAGCACAUGAAAAUCAGAUACUCCUUGAAAAAAUAGAUUUUACUCUAGGUUAUAGUUUACAUAUAUUUCCAUCUCGAAUAUUUGUCGCUUGUUAGUUCAAAAAUAAACUAAUGGACGACAAAUGAAAAAAAACGAAGGAAGUACCUUCUAGUACAUGCCUACCGGUACAGUCCACAUUUGCUUAAAUAAGAUUUCCUCCUCGAGUUAUAAUACAGUCACAUAAAAA